AUUGGCAUUCCUCACAGAGCGAGAAGCUGAUGACCCUCUUCGCUAUGUAUCCUUCCAGGUGGUAGAGGACACAAGACUCGGUCUUUGUGAGGUCAGGUGGUGAUGGAUCUACCAGCUGCUCCACUCUCACAACCUCAGAAGCACUGCAGUUGCUGUUCUUGUUGUCCAAGAAGUCCGCCAAGUGGUCUGAUGCAUCAUCCAGAUCUUGCUGGACCAGCAGUAUCGUUGUUGUGGCCAUCACAGGUUUCAGUGGAGCGCCCCCCCCCCCCCCC